rnacentral:rRNA from 1 species
UACGUAGGUGGCAAGCGUUGUCCGGAUUUAUUGGGUUUAAAGGGCGCGUAGGCGGCUUUAUAAGUCGGGGGUGAAAGCCUGUGGCUCAACCACAGAAUUGCCUUCGAUACUGUAGAGCUUGAGACCGGAAGAGGUAAGUGGAACUGCGAGUGUAGAGGUGAAAUUCGUAGAUAUUCGCAAGAACACCAGUGGCGAAGGCGGCUUACUGGUCCGGUUCUGACGCUGAGGCGCGAAAGCGUGGGGAGCAAACAGG